UGUAGGAGCCGGCUUGCUGGCGAAAGAUUUUGAAAUGUGUGCUGUUUUGCAGGACGCCAUCGCCAGCAAGCCGGCUCCUACA
rnacentral:misc_RNA from 1 species